UACAGAGGUGGCAAGCGUUGUUCGGAAUUACUGGGCGUAAAGGGCGCGUAGGCGGCCAUCUAAGUCAGACGUGAAAUCCCCCGGCUUAACCGGGGAACUGCGUCUGAUACUGGAUGGCUUGAGUUUGGGAGAGGGACGCGGAAUUCCAGGUGUAGCGGUGAAAUGCGUAGAGAUCCGGAGGAACCCCAGAGGCGAAGGCGGCGCCCUGGCUCGCAACUGACGCUCAGACACGACAGCAUGGGGAGCGAACGGG
rnacentral:rRNA from 1 species